CCCCGCGCGCGCCGCCAACGGCCCCUCUGGUCGUGACCGGCCGCCGGCCCCCCAGUCGGCUGCGCUGGGGCCUGUGUCCCCUGGAGCUCCGACUCCGCCCCCGCCGCAGCCAGGCCGGCCGCCGAGCGCUGGGCCGGGUGCUCCUGGAGAGCAGGAGGCAGGCCAGUCCCCGCGCAAACCCCCAGCCCUCCGUCUGGACCCCAGGGCCCGGCUGGGUCAGAGUCACUGAUCCUGUUUUCAGUGGAGGAAACUGAGGCUCAGAGAGUCACCGCGUGAGCUGGCCUGUCACGGGCCGUGACGUGGCCCCGCUGUGGGUUUGAGUCCAGGCCAACCUGGCCCCAAAGGCUGUCCUUGCACAGGAGCCUGAGGCUCUGAGUCCGGCCUUGGAGGCUGACAUGGAUGCAGGGCGUCCCUCACCUGCUGGUUGGAGAGCAGCGAGAAGCUGGCGUGGCAGACCCUGAGACCCAGCCCUCAUGUGCCCGAGGCUGCCAAGGGCGUGUGGAGCUGAAGACGAGGGCUGCUGGAGGCCGAGGGCUGUGGGGAUGCUGAGGACAGAACGUCUACUCCUGGCCCCCGAGGAGUGGAGGAUCAGCAGCGCCCAGACUCCGCAGGGCGCCCCGUGCCAGCGUCCACCUCCAGGGGCUUCUAGGAGCUGGGGCGUCUUGGUCCCCUCUGGGUAUGGAGGGAGUGAAGUACGCUGGAACUGGGAGGGGCUGUCCCAGAGAAGGGGUGGGGCAGUCAUCUCCUCCCCCUGGCCACGAGGGGGGCCAAGCUCAUGUUGGAAAAGCUCACGUUGAUCCUCUCCGCUUGGGCCUGGAGUGCGCACCGAACAGGUGAGCACCUCCCCAGCCGCUGAUUCCAGGCCCUCUCCUUAGCUGAUCCCAGAUCUGGGAUGGGAGCUUCUGCGGGUCCUGGGCUCCGUGUUGGGGAACUGGUGGCUGGAUGGAAGGACUGGCUUUGCCGUUGUCAGAUCUGACGGACGGAUGCUCCUGAGUGCCCACGGGCAUAGGCACCAGGGACCCAAGCCUGGAAGGUGUGAGGGAAGCACCCAGAGGCAGAGCCUGGUGGUGGUGGGUAGGGCCUGUGACGUGGGCAGUGCCCCUUUGCAGACUUCAGCAGGUCCUCUUGUUUUCAGAUCACAGACAGCACCUGAGGCUGUGGUCUGUGAGGGGCCGGGUCAGCCCGUCCAUGGCAGCCACCAAAGCCUGGGGGCUGGCAAGGUUCAGGGUGAAACUGUAGUCUGGGAGAGACCUGGACUGCCAGUUGGGGUGAAAAGUGCCCGGUAGCCUAGUCCACUCCAAUCUAUGAUUGUUGUCCACCCAACAAUGCAUAUCUGGAGAGAGGCCCUGGCUGUUUGUCGGGGGCUGGUGAGAUGAUGCCCUUGAUUAGAUAGGCAAAGAAGAGCAAAAUAAACCCAAGGUUAGCAGAACAAAGUAAAUAAUGAAAUUUAGAGCAGUGAUAAACAGAAUAGAGGAUCACUCGAGAAAAUCAGUGACACCAAUAGUUCUUUCUUUUAAAGACUUAAAAAAUGGACAACAUGGGACAAUUGUAUGUCAACAAGUUGCUUAACCUAAAUGAAAUGGAUGAAUUCCUAGAAACACACAAGCUAGCAAAACUGACUCAAGAAGAAAUGGAAAGUCUGAGUAGACCUCUUAUAAGUAAACAAACUGAAGCAGUAAUAAGAACCCAACAGGAAAAACCCAGAACCUGAUGCCUUCAUUGGUGUUUUGUCUCAGAUACUUAAAGAUAGAAAACAGAUCCUAAAUUCUUCAAAAAGUACAAUACAAGCAAACACUUUUAAACUCAUUUUGUGAUGAUAUUAACAUAACUUCAAAGAUUCUGUAAAGAGAAUAGGAACAUAAAGAAAGCUGAGUACUGAAAAAUGGAUGUUUUUGAACUGUGGUGUUGGAGAAGAUUCUUGAGAG